rnacentral:rRNA from 1 species
UUAGCGGCGGACGGGUGAGUAACGCGUGGACAACCUGCCCUAUGCAGGGGGAUAACAUCCGGAAACGGGUGCUAAUACCGCAUAAGCGCACAGUACCGCAUGGUACGGUGUGAAAAGCUGAGGCGGCAUAGGAUGGGUCCGCGUUGGAUUAGGCAGUUGGCGGGGUAACGGCCCACCAAACCGACGAUCCAUAGCCGGCCUGAGAGGGUGGACGGCCACAUUGGGACUGAGACACGGCCCAGACUCCUACGGAAGGCAGCAG